rnacentral:sRNA from 1 species
GGUGGAUGCGUUUGGGUUGUAGCUAGGCUUUUUCUUUUCUUUCUCUUUUAAAACAUAUCUAGACAAGGAAAAAACAAGCCUCGGAUCUGAUUUUUCGCUCCUCGUUCUUGUGCUUGGUUCUUACUGUGUUUGUGUAUUUUAAAGGCGAGAAGACGAGGGGAACAAAACCAGCUGGAUCCAUCCAUCACCGUGGGUGGUUUUAAUUUUUCGUUUUUCUCGUUAUUUUUUUUUAAACAACCACUCUUCACAAUGAACAAACUGUAUAUCGGAAACCUCAGCGAGAACGCCGCCCCCUCGGACCUAGAAAGUAUCUUCAAGGACGCCAAGAUCCCGGUGUCGGGACCCUUCCUGGUGAAGACUGGCUACGCGUUCGUGGACUGCCCGGACGAGAGCUGGGCCCUCAAGGCCAUCGAGGCGCUUUCAGGUAAAAUAGAACUGCACGGGAAACCCAUAGAAGUUGAGCACUCGGUCCCAAAAAGGCAAAGGAUUCGGAAACUUCAGAUACGAAAUAUCCCGCCUCAUUUACAGUGGGAGUUGUUUGUUUUUUUGAGAUGGAGUUUUGCUCUCGUUGCCCGGGCUGGAGUGGAAUGGUGCAAUCUUGGCUGACUGCAACCUCCUCCUCCCAGGUUCAAGUGAUUCUCCUGCUUCAGCCUCCCGAGUAGCUGGGACUACAGGUGUGCGCCACCACGCCCAGCUAAUUUUUUGUAUUUUUAGUAGAGACGGGGUUUCACAGUGUUAGCCAGGAUGGUCUUGAUCUCUUGACCUUGUGAUCUGCCCGCCUUGGCCUCCCAAAGUGCUGGGAUUACAGACUUUCUGAAGGACUCACUGCUAGAGAAUUAGGUAGGUUUGUUUUCUCCCAAAUAUAUGGAAUAUAGCAGAGAAAUAAGGGAAAAUGGUUUCUCAUCCAUCCAUCACUGUUUUGCCUGAGGUACCUGAAGAGUAGACUCAGUGUGACCAGACUGGAAGGGUUCCUCCACAGAAACAGUCCCAGCAGACAACGAUGUGGAUGUUCAGAUGCCACAAGGGAGGUGUACAUUAGGAGGAGGAUUUGAGAGCCCUUCCUUAAAUGGAUAAGGGUAGGGCUUUGGGAGAAAGCCUUAGUGGAGUACUUGAUGUUAAACACCUUUAGAUAUUUUUUUCUUUUGCCUACCCAGUUUCUCAAGUGGGCUUCAUUUUCUAAAUUUAAGGAAUGUUUUGUUGUUGUUGUUGUUGUUUUGUUUUUGAGACGGAGUCUUGCUCUUUCACUGAGGCUGGAGUGCAGUGAUGCGACCUCGGCUCACUGCAACCUCCGCCUCCUGGGUUCAAGCAAUUCUUCUGCCUUAGCCUCCUGAGUAGCUGGGAUUACAGGUGCCUGCCACCACACCCGGCUGAGUUUUGUAUUUUUAGUAGAGACGUGGUUACACCAUGUUGACCAGGCUGGUCUCGAACUCCUGACCUCAAGUGAUCUGUUUAUCUCAGC